UGGGGAAUAUUGCGCAAUGGGGGCAACCCUGACGCAGCAACGCCGCGUGCGGGACGACGGCCUUCGGGUUGUAAACCGCUUUCAGCAGGGAAGAUAGUGACGGUACCUGCACAAGAAGCCCCGGCUAACUACGUGCCAGCAGCCGCGGUAAUACGUAGGGGGCGAGCGUUAUCCGGAUUCAUUGGGCGUAAAGCGCGCGCAGGCGGCUCUUCAAGCGGAACCUCUAACCCCGGGGCCCAACCUCGGGCCGGGUUCCGAACUGGAGGGGUCGAGUGCGGUAGAGGGAGGCGGGAUUCCCGGUGUGGCGGUGGAAUGCGCAGAUAUCGGGAAGAACACAGAUGGCGAAGGGAGCCUGCUGGGCCGGCACUGACGCUGAGGCGCGAAAGCUAGGGGAGCGAACAGG
rnacentral:rRNA from 1 species